GGUGAGUAACACGUGGGCAACCUGCCUGUAANACUGGGAUAACUCCGGGAAACCGGGGCUAAUACCGGAUAAACGAACGCACCGNANGGUGCGGGGGUAAAAGAUGGUUUUGCCNUCACUUACAGAUGGGCCCGCGGCGCAUUANCUAGUUGGUGGGGUAAAGGCCUACCAAGGCGACAAUGCGUAGCCAACCUGAAAGGGUGAUCGGCCACACUGGGACUGAAACACGGCCCAAACUCCUACGGGAGGCANCAGUAGGGAAUCUUCCGCAAUGGACAAAAGUCUGACGGAGCAACGCCGCGUGAGCGAGGAAGGUCUUCGGAUCGUAAAANCUCUGUUGUUAGAGAAAAACAAGUGUCAUAGGAAAUGAUGGCACCUUGACGGUACCUAACCAAAAAGCCCCGGCUAACUACNUGCCANCAGCCGCGGUAAUACNUAGGGGGCAAGCGUUGUCCGGAAUUAUUGGGCGUAAAGCNCGCGCAGGCGGCUUCUUAANUCUGAUGUGAAANCCCGCGGNUCANCCGCGGAGGGUCAUUGGANNCUGGGGAGCUUGAGUGCANAANAGGANAGUGGAAUUCCACGUGUAGCGGUGAAAUGCGUANAGAUGUGGAGGAACACCANUGGCGAAAGCGGCUCUCUGGUCUGUCACUGACGCUGAGGCGCGAAAGCGUGGGGAGCAAACNGGAUUAGAUACCCUGGUAGUCCACGCC
rnacentral:rRNA from 1 species